rnacentral:lncRNA from 1 species
GCCAUUGCACUCCAGCCUGGGCAACAGAGCGAGACUAGGUGGCUGUUCUGUGUACUGUGGGAUAUUGAGUAGCAUCCCUGGCCUCCCCAGUAUCUCAAAUAUGAAAACAUGUUUUCUAUCUCGAUUACUGAGCUUUUCGGUGCCUCCUUCGGUUCUGCACCUAAGCUAAGAGCCCCUUCAUCUCACCCUGAUCUCUAUCCAGUUUCUAACACAGCAGUCUUGUAAGAUGCCCGGACUUAAACGGUUAUUUCCUGUGAAACAGGUGAAAGGGGCUUUCAUCUCUAAAAAGUCG